rnacentral:tRNA from 1 species
AAGGAGGUUAGUUGCUAAGCAACAGAUACUUUGAAAGUAUCAGCUGAAAUUUUUCACCUCCUUA